rnacentral:rRNA from 1 species
UUUUCGCUUUGCAAUGUGAUACAUUGGUUUAUCCUGGGCACACAAUCCUCUUCCAACUUGUUAUGGUUGAAUGAUGUGUUUUGAUUUGUGAUGCAAAGUUAAAUUGCAACCAGGCCCUGCCUUGAAAAAGACCGAAGUCGUUCGAAACACGUGUCGGCUUAAAUUGGGCCUUAAUCUUUACUGCGAUAAAUAAACAGUCUACCUGUUCUGUACAAGGAUGUGUUAAAUCAUAUGUGAAUUCUAUGCACCAAUUUUUCAAUAUUACUGAUUAAGUCCACCUAAUCAACUGGUUGGACUGCGCAUAUCCGGUAAUUCAAUCUUUGUUUGAAUAACAGGGAAUCAGGUUUCCAUUCCGGGGAGGGAGUCUGAGAAAUGACUACCCCAUCAAAGGAAGGCAGCAGGUGCACACAUUACCCACUCCUGACUGGCGGAAGCAGUGAUGAAAAAUGACAAUAAAGGACUCUUUUGAGGCCCUGUAAUUGGAAUGUGUAAACUUUAAAUUCUUUAAUGAGGAUCCUUUGGAGGGCACGUCUGGUGGCAGCAGCUGCAGUCAUUCCAACUCUGAUUGCAUAUAUUUAAGGUAAUAGUUGGAUCUUAGGAUCGAGCUGGCAGUCCGCCAUGAGGCGAACUACCACCUGUCCUAGCCCCUGCCUCUUGGUGCCCCCUUGAUUCUCCUGGCUGACUGUUCCGGGGGUCCGAAUUAUUUACUUUGUAAACAUUAGAGUGUUCAAGGUGUGCCGCUCGACUGAAAACUUCAGCUAGAAAGUUCUAUUCUGUUGGUUUUUGGAACUAGGAGGGACAGCCGGGGCAUUCAUAUUGGGCCGCUAGAGGUGACGUUCUUGGACAGGUGCAAGAAAAACCAAAGCGAAAGCAUUUGGCAAGAAUGUUUUCAUUAAUCAAGAAUGAAAGUCAGAGAUUUGCAGACGAUCAGAUACUGUCAUAGGUCCGACCAUAAACAAUGCUGUCUAGCGAUCCGGUGCCAUUAUUCCCAUGACCAUCCGUGUAGCUUCUGUGAAACCAAAGUCUAUGGGUUCUGGGGGGAGUAUGGUUGCAAAGCUGAAACUUGAAGGAAUUGACGGAAGAACACGACCAGAAGUGGAGCCUGCGGCUUAAUUUGACUCAACACAGGAAAGGAAGCCUCACAGUGCCCAGACAUGGAAAGGAUUGACAGACUGAUAGCUCUUUGUCGAUUUUGUAUGUGGUGGUGCAUGGGCGUUCUCAGUUAGUGGAGCGAUUUGUCUGGUUAAUUCCGAUAGUGAACGAGACUCCCCCAUGCUAACUAGUGACGCGAGCCCCAGUGGUUGGCGUUCAUCUUUUUAGAGGGACAAGUAGCGUUCAGCGACAGGAGUUCGAGCAAUAACAGGUACGUGAUGCCCUUAGUUGUCAGGGGUUGCACAAGCAUUACACUGAACGAAUCAGCGUGUAUCUACCCUUCACCGACAGGUGCAGGUAACCUGCUGAAUCCCAUACGUGAUAGGGAUUGGGGAUUGCAAUUAUUUCCCAUGAAUAAGGAAUUCUCACUAAGUGCGCGUCAUAAGCAUGUGUUGAUUAAAGUUCCUGCCCUUUGUACACACCGCCGUCGCUACUACCAAUUGAAUGGGUCUUUUAAUCAGUCCCACUGGUGUCAGCAAUGGCCCUGAUGGAGCGCCAAGAAGAUAAUGAAACUUGACUAUCUAGAGGAAGUAAAACUUGUAACAAGGUUUCUGUAGGUGAACCUGCGCAAG